AGUUGAAAAGGGACCUUACUAGCCCAAUCUCCUCUUUUCCAGAUGAGGCCUGGAGAAUGGCUUGCCUCUGGUCAUUGGGUCACACAGCUACUAAGUGAAUUUCAAAACUUCAAUGACUUCUACAAUCACAUUAUAAUUGAAAGUAAUUUUCACCCACAUUACUAACGUGAUUUCAUGACUUAAGAAGUCAAUGUGCUAUGGCAGAAAGAGCAUCAGAGAUCAAGAGACAUAAGGUCUGGAUUCUAGUAAGAUACUGCUUCCUUUGGCAUUUAAAAGCAUUAUUUUAAGAUACAAUGUGAAGACUUCAGCAGAUUGCCUAAGGAUCCAGGAUAUAGAAAAAGCAUAAAAACUCCUGAUAAUCAACUCUCUCAAUUUCGAGAAUGAAAAGGAAGCCCAAAUACCUGUACAAGGUUAUGAAGCUAGUUAUAUCCUCAAUAGUAGAGCUGGGAUUAAUAUGUUACUUACUAGCAGAGGCUAUUUUAAGUCUUGAAGCUGAGAAUCUCCAUGUACUUAGUUCUUAACUUGAUCAGUUAAUCCAUGCAUAGAUAAACUCUAUCUUAAUCCAGACAACAAUUCCAAAAAGGAAUUUAUUUCUUCUACCACCAUUUGCCUCUCUUCCCCCCACUACAUCCUUCAUCAGUGAAAAUGAUGGUAAUACCAAUCAUUUUCAUCAUUAUUUCAGCAUUCCCAACCAAAACCUCAUUCUCUCAUUCACUAGAUAUUUAUUGAGCAUGUCAGUACUUCCACAUAUCUAAAAUGAAAGAGAAUUGCAUAGAAUACUAAUACUAAAUAGUUUGAGAACUAUCCAAUGGCAAAGAGACCCCUGCUCAAAUUACCUAGAUCUGGCAGGCCCCUGAAAAAAGGCAUUUUUAAAUGACUCAAAAAAACAGCUCAAAUGUCUUCAAUCCCUAGUCUUUCUUGGUGUUUAAGAAGAAUCAAAUAAAUAGGUAGAGACCCUUCAUUAAUGUUUGGAAUAGACAAGUAAACCUGAUUUCUUUGGGGAAAACAAGUCGAUUCAGAAAAGAAAAUGACUCAGAAGAUCUUUUACACUAGACUUAUUAAGUAAAAUAUUCUGACCUCCUAGAGGGAAUCAGAUCUACAGUCAGCUGUAAAAUAGAAUUAGAUGUUUAGCAUCACAAUAGACCCUUCAGAAUCAUCUAAUCUAACCAAAUGAUUUUUACAUAGGAAGAAAUUAAGGCAAAGAAAGGAUGAUUAUGCUCCAGGUUACACAGAAUGAAUGGUAGCGCUAGAAUUUCAAUAGAGGUUUUACUACUCCAAAUUCAGUAUUCUUCCUACUAUAUUAUGCUGCCUGUCUAUGUGUGCUUGACUUUUGUAUUUGUCUUUUUGCCAAGUAGAAUAUUAUGGCUCUCUCAUAGAGGUGGGACAGGAUAAAGCCCUCGCUAAGCUUUUCUUUCUUUGAACCAUAUGUAUAUAUAUAUGUAUGUAUACAUAUAUAUAUAUUAGAUAACAUGAAAUUAGGAAAGUAUAACUAACAUGUUGGAAAAUUAACUCAAGAUCCCUAAAAGCUUUUUUUUUAUCAUGUUAGAAUAAUGGACUGAAUCUAAUAAAAUGAAAUUUAAUUGGGAUAAAUGUAAAAUCUGGCACUCAGGUUUAAUAAACUGGCUAAGUAAGGCUGGGGAGAAAUAUGUGAGAAAACAAAUGAACAAUCAACCUGGGAGUUUUAGUGGACCCUAAGCUCAACAUGAAUCAAAAUAUGCCUCCCAAGGCAAAGUUGAUAUUCUCUUUAACAAUAUAGAGGUCAACUUAUGGAUUCUUGCUUAUCUGCUUGUUUGUCUAUCCAUACAUUCACCACAGAGUAUCUCUAAAUAUGCCAGAAGCCUUUUAAAAAUUCUCUUGCUAUGUGACUAGCCAAUCAUGUAUUUAUCUUAGGAUGUCUUUUAUUCUCUUCCUUCUACGUAAUUCUUUAUUUCUAAUAAAUCAUAGCCUGCUCACUAUGCCCAGGUUCACCAUUCCCUCCAUCAUGGUGACUUCCAUUUUUGGUGAGUUUGUGUUUUAUGCCUGUGAAAAAAGAGCUCCAUUAGUCAUGUUGGAUGUGUCAGUUGUCAGAUAAUUUUAGGGUUGUGACUUUAAAUCUAGAUUUAAAUGUUCGCCAAAUAAAAUUCUCAAGUCAGUCUGGAAAUUUAUGGUAAUUUAAUUAAUACAGAGGGAAGGAAUUUAAGGAGAAGGAGGAAAGAGGAUAUAGGAUUUCUCUUACCUGGCCUAUGCCAGCGGGAGUUUUAACCUCCCCCCCUUACCCGCCUAAGUCUCUGAAGAAGAUUAGAGGCUUCUGAGAGGAAAAAGUUGGAAAGUAAAGGAGGAAGAUUCAGCUAGAAACUCACUACCGAACCGGACAAUAGUUUGUAGCCACACUAAGAUGCUGAAAGGCUCAGCAAGAAGCUCUCAGCUAAUUCUCCACCACUAAUCAGGGAAAGAGAGAGAGUGUCCUUGAGGGAUGAAAAAUCUCAAAUAUAUAGACCUUUCAUCCUUGUGUCUCCUCUAAAUUUUCACAUCUACCAAUCACAUUAAAGGCUUUUUCUCCAGGGCUGCCCAUACUUUUAGUUCUCAUCUUCUUUGAUUUGAUUAUAUCUUUAGAGUUAACACUUCUUAGUUCACCUUUUGUGAGUUACUUGACCUUUUUUGUGAUUAAUUUAACCUUUAUAGUUACUUAACACCUUUUUGUAUUAGAUCUAAAAAUAGACUUAGAUUAAAGUUCUAGCUUCACUCUAAGGUGAGAACUAAUUACCUCCAUUGUUCAAUCAGGAGAUUGCAACUUUAUCUUCCCCUAAAGCAAGGUCUAAGUAGGGUGUAGUAGUUUUCAAAGUUCACACAGUGUCCAAGUAUGCAGGACUUCCUUGGUCAAAAUUAGGUCCAGGUUAAAGAGGUUCUUAUGACCACUAAAUUGCCUUUUCUCUUCAAUAUCACUGGAAAGCCUUGGGGUAUUUCGCCAGGUCAGUGAGAAGCUCUGUCUGGGUGAGAAACUCAGGGAUGAAGUGUUAAUAGUGUGCCAUAAAAUUUAAUAGCCAUUGCAAGUAUUUUGUCAAUAUAGGAAUCUUUCACUACAAACUUAUUUUAUACAGACCAGAGAAUCCAGUAGUUGAAAGAGACAUUGGAGGCUGGUGUUGCCUCUGCAAUUUCCACCCAUUGCUGCUAGUUCUACUUUCUAAGGUCAAGUAGAACAAAUGUAUUGCAUCUUCCAUUUGACAGUCCUUCACAUACUUGAAGACAGCUAAUUAUACAGAUUUUUCCACCAGCCAAUUAUGUGCUACAGAUACUCCAUUGUCUCUUUUUCUAAUUGGCACUUUUCUAAUUUGGCAAAUACUUUUUGUUGCCUUAAGUGCUAAAGGAAAUUCAAUAUACUGGGAGAGGCCCCUGGAGUAUAUGACAUAAUCAUUGAAAUAGACUACUUCCUUCUUGGCAGGAUUUGAAAUACUGAGUUUAUAUUUCUGUGGAUUUUUUACAAAUUUCAUCACUAUGGGUGUACUUUCCUCUAUCAUGUAGAACCCAUCCAAUCAGCCUAGCAAAGAUUCAACCCCCCCCCCAAAAAAAAAGAAAAUGAAAAAUGUUAAAGGUGGUGUGGGGAAGCAGAUAUAUUGACAUACUAUUGAUGGACCUGUUAAUGGGUACAACCCCUCUACAAAGAUACUUCCUAGCUAUGUGAUGCUGGGCAAGUCACUUUACCUGUUUGCCUUAGUUUCAUCUGUAAAAUGGGAACAAUAAUAGCAUCUAUCUCAGGGAUGUUGUGAAGAUCAAAUGAAAUAAUUGUAUAGCACAAUGAUACAUAUAGAUACAUAGUAAUAACUGUAUAAAUAUUAGUUACUAUUAUUAUUAUUAUAAAGCAACUUGGAAUUAUACAUGAUAAAUUAUUCAAUAGUGCAAGCCCUUUGCCUCAGCUAUACUACUGCUAAGAUAAUACCCAAAAGAAAUCAAAGAAAGAGGAAAAGUGUAAUCUGGUCAAGUAAGGAAUGGCUGAAUAAAUUGAUGAAAUAGAUGAUUUAAAGACCUAUGAACUGAUAAAGAAUGAAGUAAUCAGAAGAAGAAUUUAUACUAUAACAUCAAUAUUAUAAAAAUAAACAAUGUUGAAGACUUUGCUGAGCCAGAACAAUUUAUA